UACGAACUGUGCGAACGUUAUUCGGAAUCACUGGGCUUACAGGGUGCGUAGGCGGCUUAGCAAGUCAGGUGUGAAAGCCCCCCGGCUCAACCGGGGAACUGCGCUUGAAACUGCUGAGCUCGAGUCAGCUAGAGGUACACGGAACUUCCAGUGGAGCGGUGAAAUGUGUUGAUAUUGGAAGGAACACCGGAGGCGAAAGCGGUGUACUGGGGCUGGGUCUGACGCUGAGGCACGAAAGCCAGGGGAGCGAACGGG
rnacentral:rRNA from 1 species